rnacentral:rRNA from 1 species
GACGAACGCUGGCGGCGUGCUUAACACAUGCAAGUCGAGCGAGCGGCGGACGGGUGAGUAAUGUAUGGGGACUGCCCGAUAGAGGGGGAUAACCACUGGAAACGGUGGCUAAUACCGCAUAUUGCCGGAUAACCCAUAUGGGAUUAGCUCGUAUGUAAGGUAAUGGCUUACCUAGCCGACGAUCCCUAGCUGGUCUGAGAGGAUGAUCAGCCACACUGGGACUGAGACACGGUCCAGACUCCUACGGAGGCAGCAGUGGGGAAUAUUGCACAAUGGGCGCAAGCCUGACGCAGCCAUGCCGCGUGAAUGAAGAAGGCCCUAGGGUUGUAAAGUACUUUCAGUCGGGAGGCGUUACCGAAAGAAGAAGCACCGGCUAACUCCGUGCCAGCCGCCGCGGUAAUAC